rnacentral:tRNA from 1 species
UGGGGUGUAGUUUACUGGUAGAGUGUAUGCUUUAUAAAUGCAAGGCUCUGGGUUUAAUCCCCAGUACCCAAA